rnacentral:rRNA from 1 species
UACGUAGGGGGCAAGCGUUGUCCGGAUUUAUUGGGCGUAAAGAGCGUGUAGGCGGCCAGGUAGGUCAGCUGUGAAAACUCGAGGCUCAACCUCGAGACGCCGGUUGAAACCAUCUGGCUAGAGUCCGGAAGAGGAGAGUGGAAUUCCUGGUGUAGCGGUGAAAUGCGCAGAUAUCAGGAGGAACACCGGUGGCGAAGGCGGGUCUCUGGGCCGAUAUUGACGCUGAGGAGCGAAAGCGUGGGGAGCGAACAGG